UGGGGAAUAUUGGACAAUGGGCGCAAGCCUGAUCCAGCCAUGCCGCGUGUGUGAAGAAGGACUUUUGGUUGUAAAGCACUUUAAGCGAGGAGGAGGCUACUUGGAUUAAUACUCUAGGAUAGUGGACGUUACUCGCAGAAUAAGCACCGGCUAACUCUGUGCCAGCAGCCGCGGUAAUACAGAGGGUGCGAGCGUUAAUCGGAUUUACUGGGCGUAAAGCGUGCGUAGGCGGCUUUUUAAGUCGGAUGUGAAAUCCCUGAGCUUAACUUAGGAAUUGCAUUCGAUACUGGGAAGCUAGAGUAUGGGAGAGGAUGGUAGAAUUCCAGGUGUAGCGGUGAAAUGCGUAGAGAUCUAGAGGAAUACCGAUGGCGAAGGCAGCCAUCUGGCCUAAUACUGACGCUGAGGUACGAAAGCAUGGGGAGCAAACAGG
rnacentral:rRNA from 1 species